UUUAAUUCAGGGGCGGGUAAUUGUUUUGGGUGGAGGACCACUUACUGAGUUUUGGCAAACUGUCGAGGGCUGCAUGGCAGGCAGCUGGGGCCAGC